GGAAAUGUAUAGAUAAAGUUCAUUUUGACAUUAAGAAGGGAGACGUAACUACUAUGUUCAUAUUGUGAACUUUGUUGUUGCUGUAGGUUUUUGCUCAGAUUGAUGUGUUGCUGUUAUGCUAUUGUCUUAUGUUCAUUCAAACUAGCAGUUUCUACUGUUCUGCAACUUAGUAUAUUUAUAAAACCUGCAACACUUUUUCUUGAGUAACCUCUGUGUAAUGAUAGAGAAACAAUAAGGGAUACAUUUUUGUUUGAUUAUACUAAACGUAAUGUUUAUGAUAUUCUGGAAGAUGAAUGAUAAAAAUGUUUCAGCCACUUUGCUUGAAUGUCAUGAAUUUGGCCUUUUGUGGUAGUAUAGAUUUCUAUCAAUGGCAUACAUGUAUUGACCAGAGUGUUGACCUUUGAAUAUUUGGAAUGCCAUAAAACUAUGUCUGGUGAGACCAUAUUUUGAGUUAGUAUUUGCUAGAUCAGGUUUCUUUGUUGCUUCUUACAAAGAUUUAAAUAUUUCAAUUUCUUUUUCAGCUUUUUUAGUUGAUUUAUUUCUAUUUGUGUCAAUUGGGUUUCGUUUUAUGUUGUUAUCUAAUACUAUGUUAAAAUUAAAUUAACAUGUACUGUAUGGCAGUGAAUGUGAUAGCCUUUGUAUAUUCUGGGUUUCAGGGUUACGAUCUAAUCUAUCAAUUGACCUCCAGAGAACGCAAAGUGAGGCAAGCCCUCUGCCACUACUCGGAUUUUUAUUUAGAUCAGGUAUGCCAAUGGAGGAAUGAUAUCUUACUGCAAGCUGCUAUCAUGGUGCUGAUGAUCUCAGUUAAGAGAUUUUAUGAGCAUGGAGGUGAGAUGCAAGUCGCACAAGAUGCUCCUUUAAAGCCAUCUAUGGAUAUCUUUGCUGUAGGGUAUGCCAACGGAGGAAUGAUAUCUUACUGCAAGCUGCUAUUAUGGUGCUGAUGAUCUCAGUUAAGCUCAUGUUCUCUUUCAAAAAUAGCAAAUGAAGCUUAGUGGAGCAGUGGAAUGACUCAAGUGGUGGUACACCAGUAGCAAGAACAUGAUUGGAGAGAUUGAGAACUGCUCAAGCUAUCUUUUAGCUGUAAGUGUAACAGUAUCUUAUCGUUUCAUUGAGUUUUUCUCUUUUGUUUUGCAAAUAUGAUUACCUUCUUUGACAAUAUGCACAUUAAUACACAAAUAAAAUAUGAUGUCAAAAAACAAAAAGAGUUCAUACAUUUCUUGAUCAAAGAGGUGGAAUCAGCAAGCUUUUCAGAGAUAUCACAUGUGGAGACAUUUGUUUAAUGGCUAGAUGGGGAACUAUCGUCCUUGGUUGAUGAAAGGACGGUGUUGAAGCACUUCCCACAAUGGCCAGAACGAAAAGCAGAUGCUUUUUAAGAGAAGCUGUUUUCAGUUACAGAGACUUGAAGAACCUUGAAACUGAGGUUUCAUCAUUUGAGGACAACCACAAAGAGUCGUUGGCUCAGGCAACAAGAAGGAUGCAAGCAUUACAAGACAGGGGACCAUGUAUAAGCGGAAUUACUGUAACUUAGUGAUGAAAUUUGAUAGUAUAAAUUAAUAUUAUUGCAUGAAUAAAUAUGGAACUUGCAUGUUGGAGCAAAGUGUUAACAACACAGAAAGAAUGAGAGAAAGCAGCAGUAAAAGAUACAGGGAUUUUCAGAUCCCAUGGGAAUGGAUGUUUGAUAGAGGACUCAUUGGCCAGAUGAAACUAAGUUCACUGAGGCUUGCGAAGGAAUACAUGAAAAGAAUAAGCGAGGAGUUGAAGUCCAUUAACGAAUGUUCGCAAGAACAAAGUCUGAUGCUCCAAGGAGUUAGAUUUGCCUAUAAAAUACAACAGGUACUUAAACACCGAAGUGUGUUAACCAAUCCCCUACAUCUUCCAUGUUGCAUACACUAGCCAGAGUCACGGUCAAAGUUCUUACUCUACUGAUGACUUGCCCAAGGCUGUUGUUAUGACUCUGAAUCAGGGUUCAGCCGUCAAGAGCAUGGAUUUCCAUCCGAUGCAACAAAUUCUACUUCUUGGAAAGUGUGGAGGGUACAACAGAUGGAGAGGGUUAAGUGGAAAGUGAGAUUCCAUCAAUUGUUGCCAGCAUGUGAUGUCGGCAAUUAUUAGAGCGGCAAUCGACAGUCUCAGCAACAGCGACAGAAGGAAGAUUGACAUGAGUAGUCGAAAGAAGAUUCCGGUGGAUAAAUAAACCGGUACCUGAGAUCCCAUUUCCGGUGGCCAAAUAAACCGGUACCUGAGAUUCUGGCCAUGGCCGGACCCUUCCCGAAGAAAAUGGCAGCUUUCAUUCUCUCAGUUUUGGAGACUCCUUUGCAGAUACACCAUGACUCUGUUAACACUCCCGUCUUGGAAGCUAAUGCAGGAGUUGUGGAGUUAAACAGGUUCUACUAUAAUCUUUUAGCAGAUUUAGUGUUAAGCGAGCUGGAUUUAGAGUGGAAGUGUGAAGCAUUUGAGUUCAUGUAUCUGGUUAAUUGAGUAAGAAAAGGAAAACGACAGAUAGAAAGAGGACUAAAUGACGAGAUGGUCUUGAAAUGAAUAAAGGUCAUGUCUCUCUGUUUUUUGAGUUGGAAUUUGGGGGCUGAAGAGAAAAUUAGAAAACGAUUUUGUUAUUGUAACUUUAUUCUUUUAGUAAUAUUCCUUUUAAUAAAUUUAUUGGAUAUAAUUUUAA